CACUUAAAUGUUGCCCACCUGAUGGCCCCACAUCCUGUCUGAUCUCUGAAACUAAGAAGGAUCAGGCCUGUUUAGUACUUGGAAAGGAGGCUGUGAAGGAAUACCAGGCUUUGUAGGGA
rnacentral:rRNA from 1 species